rnacentral:rRNA from 1 species
CUUAAUCCAACAUCGAGGUCGCAAACCCCCCUGCCGAUAAGAACUCUCAAGGGAGAUAACGCUGUUAUCCCUAAGGUAAUUUAAUCUUACAAUCAAAAUAAAUGGAUCAAGCAAAUAUAAAUAAAUAUAACAACAAAAAGGAGGGGUUAAAUAAUAUCCCUCCCAUCACCCCAACAAAACAUAUUAAACAGCCCUAGUGAACCCUCACAAACAGAAAGAGACCGUGAAUAAAUGUCAAACUCUAUAGGGUCUUCUCGUCCCAUAAAAACAUCUAAGAAUUUUAACUCAAAGACCAAAUUCAAUAAACAAUUCAAAAUUAAGACAGCUUAUGCCUCGUCAAGCCAUUCAUACCAGAUCACAAUUAAAGAACUAAUGACUAUGCUACCUUUGCACGGUCAAAAUACCGCGGCCCUUCAACAUUCAAGGUCAGUGGGCAGGCCAUACUUCAAAAACUAA